rfam:Parcubacteria group bacterium CG2_30_48_51 cg2_3.0_scaffold_118_c, whole genome shotgun sequence.
CAGGAUAAUCAAAAGAGUAUACGGUGGAUGCCUCGACACGAAAAGCCGACGAAGGACGUAGCAACCUGCGAUAAGCCUCGGGGAGGUGGUAAGCAACCUGUGAUCCGUGGAUUUCCGAAUGGGGCAACCCAUCUUGAGUCAUGUCAAGAUAUCAUCGCCUGAAUACAUAGGGCGGUGAAGGGCACCCGCUGAAGUGAAACAUCUCAGUAAGCGGAGGAAAAAAGAACAAUAAUGGGCGAUAGGCGUUUGUUCUCAUUUUGGGAACAAGUGCCUAUUGUCUUGUGAUUCCCCGAGUAGCGGCGAGCGAAAGGGGACAAGCCUAAACCGUAGCAGUGGUUGGUUUUGCCGGAUGGAGAGCUUUUAGCUAGCCUGAAACGCGAGACCGUUGCAAGGUACAAGCCGUUGCUGCUGCGGGGUUGUGAAAUGAUGACGUUCGGGCGCUUGUACGCUCGAGGUAAAGUUAAUACUUCCUUAGUAGAAAGGGUUGGAAUGCCCUGCCAGAGAAGGUGAAAGCCCUGUACGCGAAAAGGGUAAGCGCUUUACGGUUAUUGUCUUCAAGUACCACGGGACUCGAGAAACCCUGUGGGAAUCCGGCGUGACUAUGCGCCAAGGCUAAAUACUUUUCGUGAUCGAUAGUGAACUAGUACCGUGAGGGAAAGGUGAAAAGCAGGCCGGUGAGGCCGAUGAAAUAGUAUCUGAAACCGUAUACUUACAAGGAGUGGGAGUCCCAAUUUAUUGGGAUGACCGCGUGCCUAUUGAAGAAUGAGCCAACGAGUUUGUGCAUGCUGCAUGUUUAAGCUCUACGGAGCGAAGGCGCAGGGAAACCGAGUCUUAACCGGCGUAUGUCCCGAUUUAUCGGGCAUGAGCAGUAUGCACAAGACCCGAAACCGGGUGAUCUAACCAUGGUCAGGAUGAACCCUGAUGAUAAGUCAGGGGAAGGUCCGAACCCACGCGCCGUGCGACACGCGGGGAUGAACUGUGGUUAGGGGAGAAAUUCCAAUCGAACUCGGUAAUAGCUGGUUCUCCUCGAAAUAGCUUUAGGGCUAGCCUUGAAUUAUAUGCAUCCUGGUGGUAGAGCACUGGAUGGGAAGUGGGGGGUAACCUACCCUUUCCAAUCAAACUCCGAAUGCCGGGAAUGUAGAUUCGGGAGUCAGACAGUGGGGGCAAAGCUCCACGCGUCAAAAGGGAAACAGCCCAGACCCUCGUCUAAGGUCCCAAAAUUGUCAUUAAGUGUAAAAGGUGGUGUUGUGACUCAAACAACCAGGAGGUUGGCUUAGAAGCAGCCAUCCUUUAAAGAAAGCGUAAUAGCUCACUGGUCAAGUUGUUUCGCGCCGAAAAUGUACCGGGGCUCAAAUGACGUACCGAAGACAGGGAUUUUUCGAUUUAUCGGAAAAUGGUAGAGGAGCAUUCCAAGUGCGGCGAAGUCGUAUCGUAAGGUACGGUGGAGCGCUUGGAAGAGAGAAUGUUGGCAUGAGUAGUAUAAAGGCGGGUAAGAACCCCGCCCACCGUAAGCCUAAGGUUUCCAUGGGCAACGCAAAUCGGCCCAGGGUUAGUCGGUCCUAAGGUCAACCCGAAAGGGGUAGCCGAUGGAUGAGCAGGUUAAUAUUCCUGCACUUGUAUGUGUUUUCGAUGGGGUGACGGAGUGCAAAGGUCAUAGCGUUUUUUGGCUAUAGGCGUUGCUGGCGAAGUAAGUGUGUGUCCCAGGCAAAUCCGGGACACGUGAAGCGCUGAACGUUGGCAGAAGGGAAAGCUCUCGGGCAGACCCGAUUGUGGUGAAUGCACUCCCCAGAAAACCCUCUAGAGCUAAGCACAUGCAAUCCGUACCGCAAACCGACACAGGUAGGCGAGUUGAGUAUACGACGGUGCACGAGAUAACCCUCGUUUAGGAACUCGGCAAAAUAGCGGCCGUAACUUCGGGAUAAGGCCUGCCCCGAGCAAUCGGGGCCGCAGCGAAAGAUGUCAAGCGACUGUUUAUCAAAAACACAGGUCUCUGCAAACUCGUAAGAGUAUGUAUAGGGGCUGAUGCCUGGCCAGUGUCCGAACGUUAAGGGGAGAGGUGAAACCCUUCGGGGCGUAGCUUUGAUCCGAAGCGCGGAUGAACGCCGGCCGUAACUAUAACGGUCCUAAGGUAGCGAAAUUCCUUGUCGGGUAAGUUCCGACCUGCACGAAUGGCAUAACGACUUGACAACUGUCUCAACGAGGGACUCGACGAAAUUGCAAUGUGCGUGAAGAUGCGCACUACCCGCGGCUAGACGAAAAGACCCCGUGAAGCUUUACUACAACUUGAUAUUGGAUUAGGGUUCUGCAUGUUCAGGAUAGGUGGGAGACUUCGGUCAACCUUGAGAUACCACCCUUGCAGUGUCUUAAUUCUAACUUACCGCCGUAGCAGUGGCGGGAGGACAGUAUCUGGUGGGUAGUUUAACUGGGGCGGUUGCCUCCUAAAAUGUAACGGAGGCGUUUACAAAGGUUGGCUAGGGUCCAAUGGAAACGGACUUGAUAGUGCAAAGGCAUAAGCCAGCUUUACUGCAAGACCUGCAAGUCGAGCAGUUGCGAAAGCAGAACUUAGUGAUCCGACCGUACGACGUAGGACGGCGGAUGCUCAACGGAUAAAAGCUACUCCGGGGAUAACAGGCUGAUCCCGCCCAAGAGUCCAUAUCGACGGCGGGGUUUGGCACCUCGAUGUCGGCUCAUCGCAUCCUGGGGGUGGAGAAGCUCCCAAGGGUUUGGCUGUUCGCCAAUUAAAGCGGUACGCGAGCUGGGUUCAGAACGUCGUGAGACAGUUCGGUCUCCUAUCUGCCGUGGGCGUUGAAACUUGAGAGGACUCUUCCCUAGUACGAGAGGACCGGGAAGAACGAACCUCUGGUGUGCCGGUUGUCCUGCCAAGGGCAUAGCCGGGUAGCUACGUUCGGCACGGAUAAACGCUGAAAGCAUCUAAGCGUGAAGCCGUCCUCAAGAUUAGGUUUCGUUAUGAGACACCUGGGAGACUACCAGGUUGAUAGGCGCUAUGUGUAAGGCCCGCAAGGGCUUCAGCAGAGGCGUACUAAGCAGUCCAGAUUAUCCUGAC